CCAGACUCCUACGGGAGGCAGCAGUGGGGAAUAUUGCACAAUGGGCGCAAGCCUGAUGCAGCAACGCCGCGUGAGCGAAGAAGGUCUUCGGAUCGUAAAGCUCUGUCCUUGAGGAAGAAGGAAGUGACGGUACUCAAGGAGGAAGCCCCGGCUAACUACGUGCCAGCAGCCGCGGUAAUACGUAGGGGGCAAGCGUUAUCCGGAUUUACUGGGUGUAAAGGGAGCGUAGACGGUUCUGCAAGUCUGAAGUGAAAGCCCGUGGCUUAACCGCGGAACGGCUUUGGAAACUGUGGAACUGGAGUGCUGGAGAGGCAAGCGGAAUUCCUAGUGUAGCGGUGAAAUGCGUAGAUAUUAGGAGGAACACCAGUGGCGAAGGCGGCUUGCUGGACAGUAACUGACGUUGAGGCUCGAAAGCGUGGGGAGCAAACAGGAUUAGAUACCCCUGUAC
rnacentral:rRNA from 1 species